CCUACGGGAGGCAGCAGUGAGGAAUAUUGGUCAAUGGCCGGAAGGCUGAACCAGCCAAGCCGCGUGAGGGAGGAAGGCGCAGAGCGUCGCAGACCUCUUUUGCCGGGGGACAAAAGGCCGGACUCGUCCGGUCCUGAGGGUACCCGGAGAAAAAGCAUCGGCUAACUCCGUGCCAGCAGCCGCGGUAAUACGGAGGAUGCGAGCGUUAUCCGGAUUCAUUGGGUUUAAGGGGUGCGUAGGCGGGCUGUUAAGUCAGCGGUCAAAUGUCGGGGCUCAACCCCGGCCUGCCGUUGAAACUGGCGGCCUCGAGUGGGCGAGAAGUAUGCGGAAUGCGUGGUGUAGCGGUGAAAUGCAUAGAUAUCACGCAGAACUCCGAUUGCGAAGGCAGCAUACCGGCGCCCUACUGACGCUGAGGCACGAAAGCGUGGGUAUCGAACAGGAUUAGAUACCCCAGUAGUC
rnacentral:rRNA from 1 species